UACAGAGGUCUCAAGCGUUGUUCGGAUUCAUUGGGCGUAAAGGGUGCGUAGGUGGCGGGGCAAGUCUGGUGUGAAAUCCUGGGGCUCAACCCCGGAACUGCACUGGAUACUGCUUUGCUAGAGUACUGGAGAGGGAACUGGAAUUUACGGUGUAGCAGUGAAAUGCGUAGAUAUCUGGAGGAACACCCAUGGCGAAGGCAGCAAACUGGGCCACAUCUGACGCUGAGGCGCGAAAGCGUGGGUAGCAAACAGG
rnacentral:rRNA from 1 species